UUUGCAGAGGAUGUUAUGGAAUCUGUAUGAACUCAAAUUCUUUGGAAAAAGAUGCCAUGGAGAGUGACAGUCUCGUACUGUUCAAUACAUUUUCCACGUAUAACUCCUUCAAAGAGUCGAGUUGUUUGGGAAUGCAGCUCUAAGUGGGACGUAAAUUUGUUCCAAAGCUAAAUACCGGCUAGAGACCGAUAGCGCACAAGUAGAGUGAUCGAAAGAUGAAAAGCACUUUGAAAAGAGAGUUAAAAAGCACGUGAAAUUGUUGAAAGGGAAGCUUAUGUCAUCAGUAUUGGAGUUAUUGUUCAGCCUUUUGGUGUAUUCAGUAACAACCAGGCUAGCAUCAGUUUGGAUAGUUGGAUAAAAGUGUUGGAAAUGUAGCUCCCUCCGGGGUGUGUUAUAGUCUGAUACACAAUGCAGCUUAUCCAGACUGAGGACCGC
rnacentral:rRNA from 1 species